rnacentral:sRNA from 1 species
CGAUACAAGUGUCAAAAGUAUAAAAACUCGAUUGGGGCUUGCUUGCAAAAAAAUUUAUUAUCUUUUGACACGCAAAAAAAUAUGAAUAAGCAGCUAUUUUUACAAAAAUUAGCGGAUUAUGAAUAUUUUUGCAAGAAUUACGAUUGACGAAACCGGAGAAAUCCUGUAUCA